AACUGGAGGAAGGUGGGGAUGACGUCAAGUCAUCAUGGCCCUUACGACCAGGGCUACACACGUGCUACAAUGGCGCAUACAAAGAGAAGCGACCUCGCGAGAGCAAGCGGACCUCAUAAAGUGCGUCGUAGUCCGGAUUGGAGUCUGCAACUCGACUCCAUGAAGUCGGAAUCGCUAGUAAUCGUGGAUCAGAAUGCCACGGUGAAUACGUUCCCGGGCCUUGUACACACCGCCCGUCACACCAUGGGAGUGGGUUGCAAAAGAAGUAGGUAGCUUAACCUUCGGGAGGGCGCUUACCACUUUGUGAUUCAUGACUGGGGUGAAGUCGUAACAAGGUAACCGUAGGGGAACCUGCGGUUGGAUCACCUCCUU
rnacentral:rRNA from 1 species